GACUGCGUAGCUCAGUGGUUAGAGCACACGAUUGCAAUGCUGUCAUCGUGGGGUCCCGGGUUCAAUCCUCGGCGGGGUCU